rnacentral:rRNA from 1 species
CAGUAGCCGCGGUAAUACGUAGGUGGCAAGCGUUGUCCGGAAUUAUUGGGCGUAAAGGGCUCGCAGGCGGUUUCUUAAGUCUGAUGUGAAAGCCCCCGGCUCAACCGGGGAGGGUCAUUGGAAACUGGGAAACUUGAGUGCAGAAGAGGAGAGUGGAAUUCCACGUGUAGCGGUGAAAUGCGUAGAGAUGUGGAGGAACAUCAGUGGCGAAGGCGGCCAUCUGGGACAACACUGACGCUGAGGCACGAAAGCGUGGGGAGCAAACAGGAUUAGAGACCCGUGUAGUCCCUGUCUCUUAUAC